UACGUAGGGUGCGAGCGUUGUCCGGAUUUAUUGGGCGUAAAGGGCUCGUAGGCGGCGUGUCGCGUCGGGAGUGAAAGCCCGCGGCUUAACCGCGGGUCUGCUUCCGGUACGGGCAUGCUGGAGUGUGGCAGGGGAGACUGGAAUUCCUGGUGUAGCGGUGGAAUGCGCAGAUAUCAGGAGGAACACCGGUGGCGAAGGCGGGUCUCUGGGCCGAUACUGACACUGAGAAGCGAAAGCGUGGGGAGCGAACAG
rnacentral:rRNA from 1 species